rnacentral:rRNA from 1 species
AGUGAACGCUGGCGGCAGGCCUAACACAUGCAAGUCGAACGGCAGCACAGUAAGAGCUUGCUCUUACGGGUGGCGAGUGGCGGACGGGUGAGGAAUACAUCGGAAUCUACUUUUUCGUGGGGGAUAACGUAGGGAAACUUACUCUAAUACCGCAUACGACCUACGGGUGAAAGCAGGGGAUCUUCGGACCUUGCGCGAUUGAAUGAGCCGAUGUCGGAUUAGCUAGUUGGCGGGGUAAAGGCCCACCAAGGCGACGAUCCGUAGCUGGUCUGAGAGGAUGGUCAGCCACACUGGAACUGAGACACGGUCCAGACUCCUACGGGAGGCAGCAGUGGGGAAUAUUGGACAAUGGGCGCGAGCCUGAUCCAGCCAUACCGCGUGGGUGAAGAAGGCCUUCGGGUUGUAAAGCCCUUUUGUUGGUAAAGAAAAGCAGCAGGUUAAUACCCCGCUGUUCUGACGGUACCCAAAGAAUAAGCACCGGCUAACUUCGUG